CAUAGUCUUCAUGAGGUUGAACG
rnacentral:miRNA from 1 species